UAGGAUUUCCCAGUGUGAUUGGCUGCAUAGAUGCACACACAUCCCCAUCACAGCUCCCUCACAUCAUGAACAGGAAGUCCAUUCACAGCAUAAAUGUGCAGGUAGGUUACAGGUAGACUGACUACUGUUUCUAAAUGUUAAAGACUGCAUCAUAGUUCAACAUCUGUCAUUCUCUGCACUGUCCAGAUCAUAUGUGAUGCUGCAUGCAUCAUUUCUAAUGUGGAGACCAAGUGGUCUGGGUCUGUUCAUGACUCCAGGAUUUAUGGAGAGUCUAACCUGAGCAACAGACUGCAGCGUGGAGAGUUUGAUGGCCUUCUGCUGGGUGACAGGGGUUACCAUGCCAACCCAGGCUGAUGACCUCAUACCCUGACCCUGAACCAGGCCCCCAACAGAACUUCAACCGGACUCACUGCAGGACCAGAGCCCGGGUGGAGAUGACCAUAGGCCUGCUGAAAGCCCGUUUCCAGAGCCUACGUCUCCUCAGGGUGACCCCUGAGAGGGCCUGUGAUAUUACUGUGGCAUGUGUUGUUCUUCAUAAUAUUACCACUAUUAGAGGAGAGCAACACCCUGCCCUACAAACUGAAGACCCAGAUGAUGAGCCCAUCCACCUGCAGCUAUCCAGGACAGCAGAGCAGUCAGAGACACCGUAUGCAAUAAUCACUUUAGAGUUUAAGUCUCCAUCAUCACCACCACAGCAAAUAAAGACAUGAUACACAUUU